GUGGAUAUAGUCUAAAAGAUUUUAGAUUGUGAUUCUAAAGAUAAGGGUUAAAACCCCUUUAUCCACC
rnacentral:tRNA from 1 species